rnacentral:rRNA from 1 species
UUGGUGGGGUAAGGGCCUCCAAGGCGAUGAUGGAUAGCCGGCCUGAGAGGGUGUACGGCCACACUGGGACUGAGAUAGGCCCAGACUCCUACGGGAGGCAGCAGCUAAGAAUCUUCCGCAAUGGGCGCAAGCCUGAGGAGCGACGCCGCGUGGGCGACGAAGGUCUUCGGAUUGUAAAGCCCUUUUGCAGGGGACAACAACUCGCUUGGCGAGCCUGACGGUACUCUGCGAAUAAGCCACGGCUAACUCUGUGCAGCAGCCGCGGUGAUACAGAGGUGGCGAGCGUUGUCCGGAUUUACUGGGUGUAAAGGGUCGUAGGCGGAUGGAUAAGUCGGGGGUUAAAGCCUCUUGCUCAACAAGAGAAAUGCCUUCAUACUGUCUGUCUAGAGUGCCGAAGAGGAAGCUGGAAUUCCCGGUGUAGCGGUGGAAUGGUAGAGAUCGGGAGGAACACCAGUGGCGAAGGCAGGCUUCUGGUCGGCAACUGACGCUGUGCACGAAAGCGUGGGGAGCAAACGGGAUUAGAUACCCUGGUAGUCCACGCCCUAAACGUGGAUGCUAGAU